GACGAACGCUGGCGGCGUGCCUAAUACAUGCAAGUAGGACGCAGUUGCGAACGGGUGAGUAACGCGUAGGUAACUACCUAUUAGAGGGGGAUAACUAUUGGAAACGAUAGCUAAUACCGCAUACUAGUUGAUGGACCUGCGUUGUAUUAGCUAGUAGGUAGGGUAAUGGCCUACCAAGGCAACGAAACAUAGCCGAACUGGGGGGGGGAGCGGCCAAAAGUGGACUGAGACACGGCCCAGACUCCUAAGGGAGGGAGCAGUAGGGAAACUUCGGGAAUGGGGGGAACCCUGACCGAGCAACGGCGCGGGAGGGAAGAAGGUUUUCGGGUCGUAAAGCUCUGUUGUUAAGGAAGCGGUACUUAACCAGAAAGGGACGGCUAACUACGUGCCAGCAGCCGCGGUAAUUC
rnacentral:rRNA from 1 species